AGAGUUUGAUCCUGGCUCAGGAUGAACGCUAGCGGCAGGCCUAAUACAUGCAAGUCGAACGGUAAGUAAGGUAGCAAUACUUUACCAAGAGUGACGCACGGGUGCGUAACACGUAUGCAACCUACCCUUUACAGGAGUAUAGCUCGGGGAAACUCGAAUUAACACUUCAUAGUAUAAAUGAAUGGCAUCAUUUGUUUAUUAAAACUGCGGUGGUAAAGGAUGGGCAUGCGUCUGAUUAGUUAGUUGGUAGUGUAACGGACUACCAAGACGAUGAUCAGUAGGGGAACUGAGAGGUUGAUCCCCCACACUGGCACUGAGAUACGGGCCAGACUCCUACGGGAGGCAGCAGUAGGGAAUAUUGGUCAAUGGGUGAGAGCCUGAACCAGCCAUGCCGCGUGCAGGAAGAAGGCCUUCUGGGUUGUAAACUGCUUUUUCCAGGGGAUAAAACGGCCUUGCGAGGCUAAUUGAAGGUACCUGGGGAAUAAGCCACGGCUAACUACGUGCCAGCAGCCGCGGUAAUACGUAGGUGGCGAGCGUUGUCCGGAUUUAUUGGGUUUAAAGGGUGCGUAGGCGGCCAAGUAAGUCAGUGCUGAAAUAUCCCGGCUUAACUGGGAGGGUGGCAUUGAUACUGCGUGGCUAGAGUACAGAUGAGGUAGGCGGAAUUGACGGUGUAGCGGUGAAAUGCUUAGAUAUCGUCAAGAACACCUAUAGCGAAGGCAGCUUACUAGGCUGUAACUGACGCUGAGGCACGAAAGUGUGGGGAUCAAACAGGAUUAGAUACCCUGGUAGUCCACACUGUAAACGUUGAUUACUCGCUGUGUGCGAUAUACAGUACGCGGCCAAGCGAAAGCGCUAAGUAAUCCACCUGGGGAGUACGCCGGCAACGGUGAAACUCAAAGGAAUUGACGG
rnacentral:rRNA from 1 species